rnacentral:rRNA from 1 species
GUCGAACGCGCAGCGAGAGGUGCUUGCACCUUUCAAGCGAGUGGCGAACGGGUGAGUAACACGUGGAUAACCUGCCUCAAGGCUGGGGAUAACAUUUGGAAACAGAUGCUAAUACCGAAUAAAACUUAGUAUCGCAUGAUACAAAGUUGAAAGGCGCUACGGCGUCACCUAGAGAUGGGUCCGCGGUGCAUUAGUUAGUUGGUGGGGUAAAGGCCUACCAAGACAAUGAUGCAUAGCCGAGUUGAGAGACUGAUCGGCCACAUUGGGACUGAGACACGGCCCAAACUCCUACGGGAGGCUGCAGUAGGGAAUCUUCCACAAUGGGCGAAAGCCUGAUGGAGCAACGCCGCGUGUGUGAUGAAGGCUUUAGGGUCGUAAAGCACUGUUGUAUGGGAAGAAAUGCUAGAAUAGGGAAUGAUUCUAGUUCGACGGUACCAUACCAGAAAGGGACGGCUAAAUAC